rnacentral:rRNA from 1 species
GCAAGUCGAGCGGACAGAAGGGAGCUUGCUCCCGGAUGUUAGCGGCGGACGGGUGAGUAACACGUGGGUAACCUGCCUGUAAGACUGGGAUAACUUCGGGAAACCGGAGCUAAUACCGGAUAGUUCCUUGAACCGCAUGGUUCAAGGAUGAAAGACGGUUUCGGCUGUCACUUACAGAUGGACCCGCGGCGCAUUAGCUAGUUGGUGGGGUAAUGGCUCACCAAGGCGACGAUGCGUAGCCGACCUGAGAGGGUGAUCGGCCACACUGGGACUGAGACACGGCCCAGACUCCUACGGGAGGCAGCAGUAGGGAAUCUUCCGCAAUGGACGAAAGUCUGACGGAGCAACGCCGCGUGAGUGAUGAAGGUUUUCGGAUCGUAAAGCUCUGUUGUUAGGGAAGAACAAGUGCGAGAGUAACUGCUCGCACCUUGACGGUACCUAACCAGAAAGCCACGGCUAACUACGUGCCAGCAGCCGCGGUAAUACGUAGGUGGCAAGCGUUGUCCGGAAUUAUUGGGCGUAAAGGGCUCGCAGGCGGUUUCUUAAGUCUGAUGUGAAAGCCCCCGGCUCAACCGGGGAGGGUCAUUGGAAACUGGGAAACUUGAGUGCAGAAGAGGAGAGUGGAAUUCCACGUGUAGCGGUGAAAUGCGUAGAGAUGUGGAGGAACACCAGUGGCGAAGGCGACUCUCUGGUCUGUAACUGACGCUGAGGAGCGAAAGCGUGGGGAGCGAACAGGAUUAGAUACCCUGGUAGUCCACGCCGUAAACGAUGAGUGCUAAGUGUUAGGGGGUUUCCGCCCCUUAGUGCUGCAGCUAACGCAUUAAGCACUCCGCCUGGGGAGUACGGUCGCAAGACUGAAACUCAAAGGAAUUGACGGGGGCCCGCACAAGCGGUGGAGCAUGUGGUUUAAUUCGAAGCAACGCGAAGAACCUUACCAGGUCUUGACAUCCUCUGACAACCCUAGAGAUAGGGCUUUCCCUUCGGGGACAGAGUGACAGGUGGUGCAUGGUUGUCGUCAGCUCGUGUCGUGAGAUGUUGGGUUAAGUCCCGCAACGAGCGCAACCCUUGAUCUUAGUUGCCAGCAUUCAGUUGGGCACUCUAAGGUGACUGCCGGUGACAAACCGGAGGAAGGU